GUGCUUGCUCUGGCAGCACAUAUACUAAAAUUGGAAUGGUAUGGAGAAGAUGAGCAUGGCCUCUGCACAAGGAUGACAUACAAAUUUGUGAAGCAUUUCAUACUUUU
rnacentral:snRNA from 1 species